UACGUAGGGUGCGAGCGUUGUCCGGAAUUAUUGGGCGUAAAGAGCUUGUAGGCGGUCUGUCGCGUCUGCUGUGAAAAUCCGGGGCUCAACCCCGGACUUGCAGUGGGUACGGGCAGACUAGAGUGUGGUAGGGGAGACUGGAAUUCCUGGUGUAGCGGUGAAAUGCGUAGAGAUCGGGAGGAACACCUAUGGCGAAGGCAGCUCUCUGGGACGGUACUGACGCUGAGACGCGAAAGCGUGGGGAGCGAACAGG
rnacentral:rRNA from 1 species